rnacentral:rRNA from 1 species
GCAGCCGCGGUAAUACGUAGGUGGCAAGCGUUAUCCGGAUUUACUGGGUGUAAAGGGUGUGUAGGCGGGAAAGCAAGUCAGAUGUGAAAAUUAUGGGCUCAACUCAUAACCUGCGUCUGAAACUACUUUUCUUGAGAGUCGGAGGGGUAAACGGAAUUCCUGGUGUAGCGGUGAAAUGCGUAGAUAUCAGGAGGAACACCGGUGGCGAAGGCGGUUUACUGGACGACAACUGACGCUGAGACACGAAAGUGUGGGGAGCAAACAGGAUUAGAUACCCC